rfam:Flavobacterium frigoris strain DSM 15719 genome assembly, contig: Ga0131223_104
CCCUAGCCCUGAUUGAAGUGAAAAUCCUUUUUAUCUCGUCUUUAGGACGAGAUAAAAAGAUUGAAGCGGAAAGCAGGAAACAGC